GAUGAACGCUGGCGGCGUGCCUAAUACAUGCAAGUCGAGCGAACGGACGAGAAGCUUGCUUCUCUGAUGUUAGCGGCGGACGGGUGAGUAACACGUGGAUAACCUACCUAUAAGACUGGGAUAACUUCGGGAAACCGGAGCUAAUACCGGAUAAUAUUUUGAACCGCAUGGUUCAAAAGUGAAAGACGGUCUUGCUGUCACUUAUAGAUGGAUCCGCGCUGCAUUAGCUAGUUGGUAAGGUAACGGCUUACCAAGGCAACGAUGCAUAGCCGACCUGAGAGGGUGAUCGGCCACACUGGAACUGAGACACGGUCCAGACUCCUACGGGAGGCAGCAGUAGGGAAUCUUCCGCAAUGGGCGAAAGCCUGACGGAGCAACGCCGCGUGAGUGAUGAAGGUCUUCGGAUCGUAAAACUCUGUUAUUAGGGAAGAACAUAUGUGUAAGUAACUGUGCACAUCUUGACGGUACCUAAUCAGAAAGCCACGGCUAACUACGUGCCAGCAGCCGCGGUAAUACGUAGGUGGCAAGCGUUAUCCGGAAUUAUUGGGCGUAAAGCGCGCGUAGGCGGUUUUUUAAGUCUGAUGUGAAAGCCCACGGCUCAACCGUGGAGGGUCAUUGGAAACUGGAAAACUUGAGUGCAGAAGAGGAAAGUGGAAUUCCAUGUGUAGCGGUGAAAUGCGCAGAGAUAUGGAGGAACACCAGUGGCGAAGGCGACUUUCUGGUCUGUAACUGACGCUGAUGUGCGAAAGCGUGGGGAUCAAACAGGAUUAGAUACCCUGGUAGUCCACGCCGUAAUCGAUGAGUGCUAAGUGUUAGGGGGUUUCCGCCCCUUAGUGCUGCAGCUAACGCAUUAAGCACUCCGCCUGGGGAGUACGACCGCAAGGUUGAAACUCAAAGGAAUUGACGGGGACCCGCACAAGCGGUGGAGCAUGUGGUUUAAUUCGAAGCAACGCGAAGAACCUUACCAAAUCUUGACAUCCUUUGACAACUCUAGAGAUAGAGCCUUCCCCUUCGGGGGACAAAGUGACAGGUGGUGCAUGGUUGUCGUCAGCUCGUGUCGUGAGAUGUUGGGUUAAGUCCCGCAACGAGCGCAACCCUUAAGCUUAGUUGCCAUCAUUAAGUUGGGCACUCUAAGUUGACUGCCGGUGACAAACCGGAGGAAGGUGGGGAUGACGUCAAAUCAUCAUGCCCCUUAUGAUUUGGGCUACACACGUGCUACAAUGGACAAUACAAAGGGCAGCGAAACCGCGAGGUCAAGCAAAUCCCAUAAAGUUGUUCUCAGUUCGGAUUGUAGUCUGCAACUCGACUACAUGAAGCUGGAAUCGCUAGUAAUCGUAGAUCAGCAUGCUACGGUGAAUACGUUCCCGGGUC
rnacentral:rRNA from 1 species